UACUGGUAGGAAAAAGGUAGGGAGGAGAGAGCUCGUACAAUCUCCAGUUGGUACCUGAGGUUGCUCUUACCACAAGUUUGUGACAAGUAGUACUUAAAAAAGUUUUUUUGUUGUGUGUCAGAAUCUGGAUGCUUUAAAGAAACCAAACAAAGGAAUAUUAAGCAUACAAAAGUUCAAAGACAUCCAAGUGAGCGCAAAUGAGGGGUAAAUUACAAGAAUAGAAAAUAAUGAUACAAACUGAAAAAAAUGCCAUGCAUGCAAAUGAAAAUUCUUCCCAUACUUUGCAUGAUAACAUUCCACAAACUUAAUGAUAUUGCUAUUUGAUUCAUUUUGCAAAAACUAAAUGACCUUGUUCCAAUAUGCUAACAAAAGUAAUAAAUGUCUGUAAACACUUCAUUCUUAAUUUAUUUUGAAUAAUUUACAGGUUUACAAUAUGUUGCCUUAACAAAACUACUGCCAAUGACACUACAGCUCGUACUAAGCUGUACUAAAGUAACUAAUAGUCAUGUGUAACCUUAAGCAGAGAAAAGAAAAUGCAUUUGGAUAUUCUCGGCUACAUUCGUUAACAAAAACAAUGGUGUUUGGUGAAUUUUGAUGGUGUUUGAAAAUGUAUGUUGUUUUAACAAUUCGGAACCUGAUUAUUUUAUAAUAUAUAGUGCAAUUGAUGUAUAAAGGAUUAGUUUUAACAGUUUAGCUCUGGUAUUACGGACAAUGUUGAUGGCAGAGAUGAAGGACAUAUCUGUGUUGCUUUUUUCACAUCGUUGCAAGUGUCCCAUCAGGUUAUAAUUAGUUGUGGCAGACUGUGUGUGAGUUAUAAAUGUGUACUUGGCAAACAAUGUCUUCAAGGGAGAAAAAAACUGAUUGUAAAAGAUGUUAACAGUUUUGGUACUACUGGUUUCGAAUUAAGUAAUUUUAAAGACAAGUGUGUGGCCUCAAGGACGAGUGAAUAGGUGACAAAAGUGAUGCCCCCUGAACACUCUCAGGUAGUUUGUGUAAAGGGUCUCAAUUCAGAAGAAAAGGGUGAUUCGGAAGUUGAGGUGACCAAAAUGUUGGCGGAAUCAUUUGGCCAGAAAGAAGCAACUUCAAAGGCAGGGAGAAACAAGAGCUACAGCAGUGGUUGGCAGAGAAGUAACGGUCAGUCGAAGAGCUAAAUCAGCAGCAAGAGCUGAUUUCAUUUCCAGUAAAAAGCACAUAACACCAUUCAGACAGAUGCCAGACUUACAGAAAGUGGUGGCAAAAAACUUAUGUUUGGUUUAUCAUUGACUGACAGUGACUUUGAUUGGUCUAGUACAGAAGAUUCCACAGAAUAAACAGCAAAGGCUGGUGUGAAGUAGAAAUGAUACAUGUAUAUAGAAUGGUGCCAGCUCUUCUACUAAGAUGGGUGUGUAUGAGUUUAUAGAUAGAUUUAUUUCAUUAAGGAAUGCACAUACAUGGACAUUUAAAAUAAACAACAUGUAUAGUAAAUAACAUUAAAUAUACAUACAUGAUAUUAUCAAUAGCCAUGGCAGGCACCGAACCAAGGAUGACACUAAAAAGAGAAAACACUUAUUUCACUUGUGGUCCUUAUCAUUGACUGACAGUGACUUUAAUCCAUCUAGUACCGAAUAUUCCACAGUAUAAACAGCAAAGGGCGAUUCAAAAUCUAAGAUAAACAAAAAAAUCUUCCUCGCCAACCUUCACAAAGGAUGUGGCAGGAGAAGGCAACAACUACGUCGAUGAAGUGCCUGACAUUCCUCUUCAGCAGCCUGGAGAGGAUGGCAGGGAAAUGUUAUUAUGUGCGAGCCUGGUCCAGCAAAAAUCACACAGGACCAUCGCUUUGUGAUGUCCCUUCACAUGACUGGCUGAUGCUUUGCCUUAUCUAGCAGAACUGUCUGUUGCUAUGCAGACAAGGGAUGCAGUGUACACCACAGUGUCAAGCCUCUGGUAAAGGGGACAUGUGCUAUCCUGCAAGGACUGCUGGCAGAGCCUACCAAGCGGAUGUAGAUCAUGUGACCAUCUUGAACAGUCAAGAUCUACAGCCACUUCCUGAUGAACAUUGUGGUGAACCUAGAGGAUCGAUUCCCAGACCUUCCACUCCUCUAGAAGUUUGAGGUCUUCAACACCCGGAAGUUCCCUCAGGACCUGGUAGGAGAGUAUGUCAGGGAUGGUUUGAUGCAAGCUAAGCAGGCCAUAGUUGAUUGAAAAGAUUAUGUCCAGACGUAUGGGAACUGUACAAGAUGGGUUCGUGGAGCAGGGAUACCGUGAUCAUGACAGAGGUGGAUAAAACUUCCAUAGAUAAUAUGAAGGGGAAAACUGUGUGUGUUCAAGUAACUGUCCUGAUGUGAAUUAAUGGACCCAGCAGUAGCGGCAUUAGUGACAACAUGGACUCGAAUCUUCCCAGGGAUGAGAGGCCAGGACAGAAAUGGGCUGCAGCCAGUGGCAGGGGCCAGAAGUAAUAGCCAACAUUGUUCGAGGUCUUGUUGCUACAAAGGUAUCUGAUGUUGUGUGUUGGCAGAAAUGCAGAGUGGUACCACCGGUCACCUGAGCCACCUUUCCCCUCACAGACGAGAGACUCGUCUGUCAGUGACAGUAGUUUCCAGAGUAGCACUGAAUUGCAUGAAGCCUUACAAACUUAAGCAGCCAUCCACUGACAGGCUGGAGUGAUUUGGAUUUCCGAUGCCACAUUUACCUUUGUGCUCAGUGACAAGCUGGCGCUUAGCUGCCAUGUCUGAUGAUCCUCAUUGAGUUUAAUGGUGUUUCUACUGGCCUUAUCAUCAAGUCUCUGCAUAUGACUUCUUGCAGUAGCUGAGAUAUCCAUAUAUGUGAGAAGCACAUUUGCCUUUGUUAUUCCAGCAGGCAUUUCCCUAAACCCAGAACCAAGAAACGUGUUUAUUGUGGCUCCCUUGCCAUCUUUGCACUCGCUAUACUGGCGUAAGUUCCGGUGCACCAGGCAGGUCUUCCUCAUUUGGAAUCCACAUCUUCAGCUGAACUGCGGCAAUGAAUAAAAUCAGACUCCUUAGCAGCAUGUCCCAAGAAGCAGACAGGCAAUCCCAGGAACACCAGCCCAUUUUGUUGCUCACAAACAGUAUUGAUGAUAGUGACAUAGAAACAUCCGUAUGGUGGAGAAGGCUGAGGUAUUCUGAUUGUUUGUAAAGCAGUGCGGUAAGUGGCUCUUAGGGUAACAUUUAACUAUUAACUUAACAAUGAACGAGAAAUAUGUUUUAAAAAGAUAAACAGCGAUUAAUUAGGAAACAAAGUCGGGAAGAGUGUAUGAGAAAGCCAGAUGAACUUAACAUGUGUAUAUAGUUUCAUAUGUAAGAUAUGUAUUAAUUAAGUGGUCUUUUUUAAUUUAAUGACAUCUGGAUGUAAUUUUUAUUGGACAAGUUUCUUACAUUUAAAAUGUCUACUCUAUUCAUAUUAGGAUUGCUUGACCGUUUAAAACAUCGAGCUUAGUCCAUUUAUAUUUAUCUACUGUAACCAGACUUGGAGGAAGUUACUUGCUAGCCGAUUGCCUAUUCUACAACCAUGCAGUGGAUAGACAACAGUAAUGAUGUAGAUGAAGCUACACAUGCUCAUAACGACGUAAACAAUGUUACAGCUUACUAACAAGAAGACUCCUAUUCUGGCUAUUUUAUUUAGCAGAUUUAUUUCCAUUUUAGCUGCGAGGCAAGCAGAUCACAAGGUGUUUUGGGGGUGUGUUUCCAGCACCAUCCAGCAGCUGAUCUAGCAGUCAUCACCCACCAGUUGCUGCACAACAAGGUGUUAGCAGUCCAAGACUGGUCUGUGUUCUGGCAGCAGAUUCGGAUGAACAGCAAUGUAAAAGGUCACUUGCUAUUUUCACUGAUCAUAUAUUCUUUAAACUGAAACAUAUGUUUGUAUCAGUAAUAAAUGUCUCUCCAUCAGUCCAUUUGUCCAUUGGUCCAUCCUAGGGCAUCGGGACAAGUCUACUUUUUUCCAUUACUCAAUAUUUUUUGAGGUAUUGACUUCAAACUUCAUACACAUAUUGACUGAUUUGAGGUGAAACUCUGCAAUUGUCUGUUUUGUGUACAUCACAAUUCCUGUCUGCUUCAUAACAUUCAACCAGUUGAAGGAUUUUGAAAUUACUCCCAACAAAAGUUCACCAUAUUGAGACAUUGAGACAAUAUGCAGAGAGCAACCAGCUUGGCUCAAGGUCAAGGUCACACUUAGACAUCAAAGGUCAUAUUACUGCAUUUCAUGUCUGCUCUAUAAUCUCUUAAGCCUCUUUCAGGAUUGGAAAUAACUUGCCACAAAUGUUCACUAUAUUGAGAUGGUAUGCAGUGGGGGAAGACUUCAGUUUUUAAUAACAAAACAACUGUCUAGUUUUAUACUAUAUCAAGUUUUCUUUUCUCCAUAACUCCAUAUAUUUUUGAGAUAUUGACUUCAAGCUUCACACACAUGAAUGAGUUGAGGAAAAAUGUUGUGCAUAAGAAACAUGAUUUUGUGUAUGGGCUUUUUAUUACAACAGUCUAUAGCUUGUACAACAAAAGUGUUGACUAAACCAUUCACUCUGUAACAUCUUUCAAGUCUAGGCCAGACAUAGUAUUCUCAUUUCCCAACAAAUUCACUUUUUCACUUUAAAGUUAUAUUUGUGGAAGUAGAGUUAUGCUCUGACAAAAAUGUAGCCAUUUACAAGAACAUGUAUAUUAUCUGUGGUGAUAUUUGAAUGCUUCAGUGAUGAGCUCUAGGCUGAAAUUCCAUGUUGCUUGACACAGGCUGAACUUUCCCCAGUGAUAUCAGAAGAGGUCCAGCCCCAAACAAAGUGGCAUCCAGGGAGUGGAAGUUGGCCCAGUGAUAUCAGAAGAGGUACAGUCCCAAACAAAGUGGCAUCCAGGGAGUGGAAGUUGGCCCAGUGAUAUCAGAAGAGGUACAGCUCCAAACAAAGUGGCAUCCAGGGAGUGGAAGUUGGCCCAGUGAUAUCAGAAGAGGUCCAGCCCCAAACAAAGUGGCAUCCAGGGAGUGGAAGUUGGCCCAGUGAUAUCAGAAGAGGUCCAGCCCCUAACAAAGU